rnacentral:rRNA from 1 species
AUUGAACGCUGGCGGCAGGCCUAACACAUGCAAGUCGAACGGUAACAGGAAGAAGCUUGCUUCUUUGCUGACGAGUGGCGGACGGGUGAGUAAUGUCUGGGAAACUGCCUGAUGGAGGGGGAUAACUACUGGAAACGGUAGCUAAUACCGCAUAACAUCGCAAGACCAAAAAGGGGGACCUUCGGGCCUCUUGCCCUCGGAUGUGCCCAGAUGGGAUUAGCUAGUAGGUGGGGUAACGGCUCACCUAGGCGACGAUCCCUAGCUGGUCUGAGAGGAUGACCACCCACACUGGAACUGAGACACGGUCCAGACUCCCACGGGAGGCAGCAGUGGGGAAUAUUGCACAAUGGGCGCAAGCCUGAUGCAGCCAUGCCGCGUGUAUGAAGAAGGCCUUCGGGUUGUAAAGUACUUUCAGCGGGGAGGAAGGGAGUAAAGUUAAUACCUUUGCUCAUUGACGUUACCCGCAGAAGAAGCACCGGCUAACUCCGUG